rnacentral:ribozyme from 1 species
CAUUUGAAUUUCUUUUUUCUGUGUUUUUGUUUAUAAAUUUUCAUUUUGCUUUCUUCUGUGUUGAAAAAAAAGUGAAGAACAAA